rnacentral:rRNA from 1 species
CCUACGGGCGGCAGCAGUGAGGAAUAUUGGUCAAUGGGCGAGAGCCUGAACCAGCCAAGUCGCGUGAGGGAGUACUGCCCUAUGGGUUGUAAACCUCUUUUGUCGGGGAGCAAAAGCCGGACGUGUCCGGCUGUGAGAGUACCCGAAGAAAAAGCAUCGGCUAACUCCGUGCCAGCAGCCGCGGUAAUACGGAGGAUGCGAGCGUUAUCCGGAUUUAUUGGGGUUAAAGGGUGCGCAGGCGGAUUUUUAAGUCAGCGGUCAAAUCGUGGGGCUCAACCCCAUCCAGCCGUUGAAACUGGGGAUCUAGAGUGUGCGAGAGGUAUGCGGAAUGCGUGGUGUAGCGGUGAAAUGCAUAGAUAUCACGCAGAACCCCGAUUGCGAAGGCAGCAUACCGGUGCACAACUGACGCUCAGGCACGAAAGCGUGGGUAUCGAACAGGAUUAGAUACCCUGGUAGUC